GACGAACGCUGGCGGCGUGCUUAACACAUGCAAGUCGAACGGAAAGGCCCUUCUUUUGUGGGGUGCUCGAGUGGCGAACGGGUGAGUAACACGUGAGUAACCUGCCCUUUACUUUGGGAUAACUUCAGGAAACUGGGGCUAAUACCGGAUAGGAGCUCCUGCUGCAUGGUGGGGGUUGGAAAGUUUCGGCGGUUGGGGAUGGACUCGCGGCUUAUCCGCUUGUUGGUGGGGUAGUGGCUUACCAAGGCUUUGACGGGUAGCCGGCCUGAGAGGGUGACCGGCCACAUUGGGACUGAGAUACGGCCCAGACUCCUACGGGAGGCAGCAGUGGGGAAUAUUGCACAAUGGGCGGGAGCCGGAUGCAGCAACGCCGCGUGCGGGAUGACGGCCUUCGGGUUGUAAACCGCUUUCGCCUGUGACGAAGCGUGAGUGACGGUAAUGGGUAAAGAAGCACCGGCUAACUACGU
rnacentral:rRNA from 1 species